GCACUGCAGAUGAGAGUUGCUGGUGUGAGGACAUGGCACAAGGAGAGAAGGGACCGAGUCUCCCCCGGGG
rnacentral:lncRNA from 1 species